rnacentral:lncRNA from 1 species
GAAAGUUACGAUAGGACAGGGAGUCCUGUCAAGGUUCCUCUAAUCUCCGGGGAACGGAGCUGGCCCACCGGUCAGCGUAGACUAGUCCUGGACAAGACAGAUGUUUUUAUUUGUUUUUUAUUGUGUAUUCAUUGUCCCACCGUCUUCCCUCUAUAUUUCUAUAGAAUAUUCACGAAUGCCUUAGUGUACGUCAGCCUUAGUGUACGUCAGUUCCCAAUUAUUCCUGGGGGUGUUUAUGAACAUUUUAAUAGGAUUCAUGUUGCUAAAAUGCUGUCAGUUCCACUUUAAGGUUAGGGGUUAAGGUUAAGGUUAAGGUUAGGGGUUAAGGUUAAGGUUAGGGUUAGGGUUAGGGUUAGGGUUAGGGGUUAGGGGUUAGGUUAGGGUUAAGGUUAGGGUUAGGGAUUAAGGUUAAGGUUAGGGGUUAAGGUUAGGGUUAGGGUUUAAGGUUAGGGUUAAGGUUAAGGUUAAGGUUAGGGGUUAAGGUUAGGGUUAGGGGUUAAGGUUAAGGUUAGGGGUUAAGGUUAGGGUUAGGGGUUAAGGUUAGGGUUAAUGUUAGGGUUAUGGGUUAAGGUUAGGGUUAAGGUUAGGGGUUAAGGUUAAGGUUAGGGGUUAAGGUUAGGGUUAGGGGUUAAGGUUAAGGUUAGGGGUUAAGGUUAGGGUUAGGGGUUAAGGUUAGGGUUAAUGUUAGGGUUAGGGGUUAAGGUUAGGGUUAAGGUUAGGGGUUAGGGUUAAGGUUAGGGGUUAAGGUUAGGGUUAGGGGUUAAGGUUAGGGUUAGGGGUUAAGGUUAGGGUUAAGGUUAGGGUUAGGGGUUAAGGUUUUGGGUUAAGGUUUCGUUGUUCGGGUUAGGGUUAAUCCCCAAAAACGUGGAUAUUGUUGCUUGUGUGGGAGUUUGUGUGCGUGCACCGAAUCAGCACCAUGGACAGCGAAGGAAUCUGACUUCUGGGUUUCAGCACAAGAUAGUGGACAGCAAUAGUCUCUGGUGCAGUCACUCCCCACUGAGGGGAUCCCUGAUGAUACUGUAACCUACAUGAAAAGACGUAACCAGAGACGCAAAAAAAUAUGCAUUCGGCCCUAUAUAGAUGUUAUAUAGAUAUUAUAUAGAUGUUAUAUAGAUGUUAUAUAGAUGUUAUAUAGAUGUUAUAUAGAUGUUAUUUGGAUAUUAUAUAGAUGUUAUAUAGAUGUUUUCUGUGAGGAAUGACUGUAGCACAUAUAUGACCUCCCCUUGUGUUCUGGAAUCUAUCCACCGCUUUUACAACAUACAGUAAAUAACAUAGGCUAUUCACUGCAGUUUACAACCUAGACUAGAGGUUUGUACUCACUUGAAAACAAUAAUAACAUCCUUCAUUACACUGUGUUGUUGUAGCCUAGGUAGGAUACAUUUCUUGUCCAUAAUAACCUGAAACAUAUGGUAGCUUUUCCAGCUGCACAUCCGUGACGGGGACUGGGAGGGAGCUACAUAGUGUAGCUGUGAUUUUGUUAUCUAAUAAAACAUGUUUAUUUUACUGUGUAAAUAGACUGGAUCUAUUCAAUAU